AUUGACUUUCCAUUAUUUAUUUUAUAUGACGGCAGCGACGAUUCGUGAGGUACUGAAAUAUAUGUGUAUGUACAUUGACAUAGUGAUAACGGGCUAAUAUGUACAGAUACAUCGAAUCAUAUAAAUGAAAUCGCUGUCAAGUCUUUAUUUCAUCGACGAAGAAAAUGAAAUAAGAGGGACGUUUUAAUUCAACCCAGUUCAAAUAGAAACUUGAUGCACUGUCAUUCAACUUAUGACGAGUAAUUAACACGGCUAUAAAUACCUUAGAAAGAGAAAGAGAGAGAGAGAGAGAGAGAGAAUCCACAAGAUAUUUUUCACAUGGCUCAUAUCGAGUAGCAUCAGGACACGGAAGAAUAAACCAGGAAAACCACGGAAAAACAUACCUCGGCCUUGGAUGGGGGCUACCUCGUGGAUAAUGCAUUGGAUGACGAUGCUGUGGCGGUUGUGGAUGCCUGGGAGAUUCGCUGUUCUCGACAGGUGGCAGGAAAAAGUUGCUUUUCGAUCCGUGUCUCUGCAACGGUGGGGUAGGUUCACAAUCUGCUGAUUGUGAUGCAGUCGGUUCCAUAUCCGUAUCGGAACAAUCUCGUCCGGGGGACAACUGUAAAAUAUUGACAAAAAAAGAAAGAAGAAUAUUUUCCGUUACAUAGGAAAGUGAUAAAUAAGAUUUUAAUGAAAAAAAUUUUUCAAUACUCAAAUGAAUGAACAAAACAAUGACGUACGAUCAAAGUGGAAUUUUGUUUAGCUUCGCAAGGAAAAAAGGAUGAAGGGAUGGAUGAGGUCGGGGUCUCUUGGUUCAGUAAAAACGUCCUCCAAAUGUUCUAAUUGACUCGUGACGAACGGAUAAGCUAUCUUCGCUCGACGUAACGUACUGUGGAUAUCAAUUAUGCACACAGUAUCCGAGAAAAAAAUCAACAUAAAAAGUAACAUACAAAAUUAUUCGAGUCACGCGCGAAUGUUGUGACGUUGAAACGUUGUUUCGCACGCUCACUAAAUCAUCUACAAAAGCGAUUAACUACCUUCUACUCAGCGACUACGACCAAUCAAGUCUAUAUGCUUUGCGAACAGAUAGAGCCAACAGAGAGGGAGAGCAAGAAAAGAAUGCGUGGGUGAAUGUAUUUUAGCCAGAAUACGGUGAAAGCAUAGGAGAAAAACAGUACCUCAGUAAUAAACGUCAACCUUGAGAACGUGUAAAAAAAGCGUGUAGAGACUGCGAAGGUUGUUAGUGCCGAUAAUACAAGUUAUUAAAAAAAAACACACACACACAA